AUCCGGGUUGCGGACAGUGUCUGGUGGGUAGUUUGACUGGGGCGGUCUCCUCCUAAAGAGUAACGGAGGAGCACGAAGGUUGGCUAAUCCUGGUCGGACAUCAGGAGGUUAGUGCAAUGGCAUAAGCCAGCUUGACUGCGAGCGUGACGGCGCGAGCAGGUGCGAAAGCAGGUCAUAGUGAUCCGGUGGUUCUGAAUGGAAGGGCCAUCGCUCAACGGAUAAAAGGUACUCCGGGGAUAACAGGCUGAUACCGCCCAAGAGUUCAUAUCGACGGCGGUGUUUGGCACCUCGAUGUCGGCUCAUCACAUCCUGGGGCUGAAGUAGGUCCCAAGGGUAUGGCUGUUCGCCAUUUAAAGUGGUACGCGAGCUGGGUUUAGAACGUCGUGAGACAGUUCGGUCCCUAUCUGCCGUGGGCGCUGGAGAACUGAGGGGGGCUGCUCCUAGUACGAGAGGACCGGAGUGGACGCAUCACUGGUGUUCGGGUUGUCAUGCCAAUGGCACUGCCCGGUAGCUAAAUGCGGAAGAGAUAAGUGCUGAAAGCAUCUAAGCACGAAACUUGCCCCGAGAUGAGUUCUCCCUGACUCCUUGAGAGUCCUGAAGGAACGUUGAAGACGACGACGUUGAUAGGCCGG
rnacentral:rRNA from 1 species